UAACACAACAAAAUAUAGGUAGCUAGCUAGCUAUCUUUUGAUCUAGCGAGCCAGGCUAGCUAGCUAGAUACCUCAUUUGAACGUUUUACAAAUUUGGGAUGUAACACAACAAAAUAUAGGUAGCUAGCUAGCUAUCUUUUGAUCUAGCGAGCCAGGCUAGCUAAUGUCUAUACCUCAUUUGAACGUAGUUAGGUCGUAGCUCAUACAAGUUUAUUGUGUAUUAUCUAGAUACUGCUGGUUAUGGAACGUUAUCAUUUGAUAAUGCUAGCAAGGCAGGCUGGCUACAGGCUAGCUAACGUUCGUUAACUAGCUAGCUAAUGUUAGCCUACAAGUCGUAUUUGCAAGUUAUUUUGUAGCUCAUACAGGUGUAUUCCGUUUUGUUUAGGGCAAAACUUAAUAAUGGAUGUAGCUAACUCAUGUCUGAGUCUGACUAAUACAGUGAACUAUUGGUGCUUUCAAGGGAGGGGAAAAAACUAGGUCAAAUCAUGACUUUAGUGAUCUUCAGAUCGGAAAGUCAGAGCACUAGAAAAAUGCCUGAGUUUGCAACUUGGAAUUUCGAGUUGGAAUAGCGUUCAAAAUUACAUUUCCCAAUCAGAGCUCAUUUUUGUCCACACACCCACUAAUGAAUUUCUGGCUACACCACUGAGGUUAUAGGCAUAAGGUUAACUGUGUGGUUAAGGUUAGGUUUAAAAUCACAUUUAAGAAGAGCAAUUGUAGAAAUAGGCGGCCUAUAUGACUUUGUGGCUGUAACUAGUGACGACCUAGAAUUAUCUUGACCGAGUUACUGCCCUGAUGACACAGACGGCUUCAUCAACAACGGUAAUGUGUGUUAUGUGAAAAGUUGUAUACAAAAUAAAUAUAUCCAGAUUGAAAAACUCAUAUUUUAAUUACCCAGCCAAGCAGAUUAAUUUUGGUUGUGAAGUACAUUAUCAAAACACUUAGUCCUUUCUUUAUAACAAUGAAAUGUGUUACUUGGCUGUCUAUUGUAUCACGCUGUCCCAGACCCUACCAGUCAACACCACCUCGUAAGAUGACGAAGUACAUUGCCUGCUGCAGUUGUUCGAGAGAGGUCCAGUUUCAUGCAACAUAGAAAAGACCAGCAAGGGGACCCUCAGAAACACACAGACAUGCCCUUCCUGUGAGCAUUCCUAUAAAUGGAACAGUGUCGACACUUGAAUCAGUAUCUUUGAGGGGCCAGGAGCUCAUCUACGCUGCCAUGCCCAUCAAUGGGGCGCUGGCAAAGAACUUACCUCCAGCCUCACUUCUUGCCUGCUUACUAAUGGUCAUCAAUGGAGAGAUGCAUCUAUUGACCCAGCACUAGGAGACUUGCAAGAUGAUGUGAUGAAGUCCAGACUGACAUACGGGCUUCAUACUGAUGUCUCUAAAUGGAGAGAGACCUGACACAGCAUGAACAUUUUACUAGACAAAUUUUACUAGUUGUCUUUUUUUAUUAUUGAAUUGUAUCAGUCAAUAUGGGGAGGGAGAAACCCAGUGUAUUCUGCACCAGGAUCAGGUAACUCCUGGUGUAUACAGGACACCAUAUAGGAAGGUAUGACCACUCUGACAUGUUUACCAAGGUAGCCCAAUUAUCACCAGACAAAAUGUUGAUAGGCACAGUAUCUGUAUCGGCAGGGAAUGACAAUGAAUGAUGAAAGGUGCACCUUGUUAUAUUAGCAGGACACUGAUUCUAUGGUUUUAUGUAAAUGGUUGUUUAUUCUACAUGGACCUGUUACUACAUUUGAAUGUUAUCAAAACACUUAGUUUAGAAUAUCUACAUACAUUAUUUUUAUUUACCUUUAUUUAACUUGGCAUUCUUAUUUACAAUGACGGCCUACCAAAAUGCCUCCUGCGGGGAAGGAGGCUGCAAUUAUUAUUAUUAAAAGAAUAAUUAAACACGCAUCAUGACGAGAGACAACACAACACUACAUAAAGCGAGACCUAAGACAACAACAUAGCAUGGCAGCAACACAUGAAAACAAAGCAUGGUAGCAACACAACAUGACAACAACAUGGUA